rnacentral:rRNA from 1 species
UACGGAGGGAGCAAGCGUUACUCGGAAUUAUUGGGCGUAAAGGGCGCGUAGGCGAUGAGGCAAGUCUGCUGUGAAAGCCCCCGGCUUAACUGGGGAGGGUCAUUCGAUACUGCUCGACUUGAAGGCAGGAGAGGGUAGUGGAAUUCCCGGUGUAGUGGUGAAAUGCGUAGAUAUCGGGAGGAACACCAGUGGCGAAGGCGACUGACUGGACAUGUAUUGACGCUGAGGUGCGAAAGCGUGGGUAGCGAACAGG